rnacentral:rRNA from 1 species
UACGUAGGGUGCGAGCGUUGUCCGGAAUUAUUGGGCGUAAAGGGCUCGUAGGCGGUUUGUCGCGUCGGGAGUGAAAACCCAGGGCUUAACCCUGGGCUGCUUUCGAUACGGGCAGACUAGAGGUAUGCAGGGGAGAACGGAAUUCCUGGUGUAGCGGUGAAAUGCGCAGGAUAUCAGGAGGAACACCUGCGGCGAAGGCGGGUAGCUGGGCCGACACGUGACGCUGAUGCGCGAAAGCCAGGGGAGCGAACGGG